rnacentral:misc_RNA from 1 species
UGUGUUUGCAGUGCCCCAGCAUAGUCU